UCCCCGGUGGUCUAGUGGUUAGGAUUCAACACUUUCACUGCUGCAGCCUAGGUUCAAUCCCUAGUCUGGGAA
rfam:Sus scrofa chromosome 15.